rnacentral:pre_miRNA from 1 species
GGCUGCGAUAAACAUUCAUUGCUGUCGGUGGGUUUGAUGUGAAUAUAACUCACUGAUCAUUGAAUGAACACUGCGGUUCAAACACCUC